rnacentral:rRNA from 1 species
AACGAACGCUGGCGGCGUGGCUAAGGCAUGCAAGUCGAACGGAUCUAUCCAACGGGUAACUGAAGGGUAGAUUAGUGGCGAACGGGUGAGGAAUACAUGGACAACGUACCCUGGACACGGGGAUAGCGGCGGGCCGCAAGGCCCUUUAGCGAAAGUGCCGGUAAUACCCGAUGAUCCCGCGUGACCGCAUGGUCGUGCGGGCAAAGCUCCGACGGUCUAGGAUCGGUUCAUGGCCUAUCAGCUAGUUGGCGAGGUAACGGCUCACCAAGGCGACGACGGGUACCGGGCGUGAGAGCGUGACCCGGCACAUCGGAACUGAGACACGGUCCGGACACCUACGGGUGGCUGCAGCAACGAAUAUUCCGCAAUGGACGAAAGUCUGACGGAGCGACGCCGCGUGCAGGAUGAAGUCCCUCGGGAUGUAAACUGCUGUCAGGGGUGAGGAAUAAGUUGACCAACCCCAGAGGAAGCAUCGGCUAACUCCGUGCCAGCAGCCGCCGUAA